GUGGCACUACCUCCACCUGGACAGAAAGACCCUAUGAAGCUUCACUGUUCCCUGGGAUUGGCUUUGGGCUUUUCCUGCGCAGCUUAGGUGGAGGGCGAAGAAGGCCUCCUUCCGGGGGGGCCCGAGCCAUCAGUGAGAUACCACUCUGGAAGAGCUAGAAUUCUAACCUUGUGCCAGGACCUACGGGCCAUCCGGUUCAGAAUGGAUCUCGGAUAAUGAGUCAGAUCAAAUCAAUAUUAAUCCAUUUUUUCCUAUUCUUUCCAGAAAAAAAUUCAACAAUCACAUAUCCAAAAUCAUGAAACUAUUCAUA